AUACUGCUGGUUUCUUUUAAGUCCUGCUUAAAUCUUUGGCUUUUUACUAAAGAUUUCUGUGGAGAGGAACAUAAAUGAGUUUGAUGUAUUUUUAUGAGCUUUGCUCUAGCAAAGCU